UACGAAGGGGGCUAGCGUUGCUCGGAAUCACUGGGCGUAAAGCGCACGUAGGCGGCUUUCUAAGUCAGGGGUGAAAUCCUGGAGCUCAAACUCCAGAACUGCCUUUGAUACUGGAGAGCUCGAGUCCGGAAGAGGUGAGUGGAACUCCGAGUGUAGAGGUGAAAUUCGUAGAUAUUCGGAAGAACACCAGUGGCGAAGGCGGCUCACUGGUCCGGUACUGACGCUGAUGUGCGAAAGCGUGGGGAGCGAACAGG
rnacentral:rRNA from 1 species